CAGUCGCCGCGGGAAUACAGAGGGUGCGAGCGUUAAUCGGAUUUACUGGGCGUAAAGCGUGUGUAGGUUGUUGUUCAAGUCAGUUGUGAAAUCCCUGGGCUCAACCUGGGAACUGCUUCUGAGACUGAACGACUAGAGUACGGUAGAGGGUGGUGGAAUUUCCGGUGUAGCGGUGAAAUGCGUAGAUAUCGGAAGGAACAUCAAUGGCGAAGGCAGCCACCUGGGCCUGUACUGACACUGAGACACGAAAGCGUGGGGAUCAAACAGGAUUAGAUACCCGCGUAGUCCCUGUCUCUUAUAC
rnacentral:rRNA from 1 species